UUACAUAGUAAACUAGUUAUUUAGUUAAGUAGUUGUAUAGUUAAGUACAUAGGUACAUAUUAGGUGACAUAGUUAGUUAGUUGUAUGACAUAGUUAGUUAGUUGUAUUUAGUAGUUAGUAGGCAAUUGAUACUAUCUCAUUUCAUACUAGAGAUCUUGUACUUAGAAUGUUUGAUUUAUUAUGGACUAAAUGAAUUAUGCGUCCUUAUAUUGAUAUACUAGAU
rnacentral:lncRNA from 1 species